rnacentral:rRNA from 1 species
CCUUGCCAGCCCGCUCAGAAACUCAAAGGAAUUGACGGGGGCCCGCACAAGCGGUGGAGCAUGUGGUUUAAUUCGAUGAUACGCGAGGAACCUUACCUGGGCUCAAAUGUAUGUUGACGUAUUCUGAAAGGGAUACUUCUUCGGACAAUAUACAAGGUGCUGCAUGGUUGUCGUCAGCUCGUGCCGUGAGGUGUCGGGUUAAGUCCCAUAACGAGCGCAACCCCUACCUUUAGUUGCCAUCAGGUAAUGCUGGGGACUCUAAAGGAACUGCCUACGCAAGUAGUGAGGAAGGCGGGGAUGACGUCAAAUCAGCACGGCCCUUACGUCCAGGGCUACACACGUGCUACAAUGGCCGAUACAGAGGGCAGCUACCUGGUGACAGGAUGCAAAUCUCCAAAGUCGGUCUCAGUUCGGAUCGGAGUCUGCAACCCGACUCCGUGAAGUUGGAUUCGCUAGUAAUCGCGCAUCAGCCAUGGCGCGGUGAAUACGUUCCCGGGCCUU